rnacentral:lncRNA from 1 species
UAGACAAGAGGGGUUGCUCUUAUGUUAAGCAACUUCCACUUCCAAGUCUCUUGUUACCUUGUAUUGUUUGGUUGGCUCGCCGUUGAUAAUAGAUUACGCUAAAUAUUGAACAUUUAGUACUUGCUGAUGAAGGUUUCUGUCUUUUUAAUUAGUUUAGCAUGGAUACCAAUAGUGCUUACGAGAGCUGUUUUCAGGGAUUUCUGGUUCUACUAGUUCUCAUGUGGAGCAAGAAAAUUUAGGGGCUCUAUCUGCUUUUAGGAAUGUUGGUAAAGCAACAAAGGAUGGUGUUCUUGGUACUCGUAAUACUCCUAUACAUAUGGUGGCUGUUGAAGGAGGUAACUUCAAAGAACAGUUAUGGCGUACAUUCCGGUCUCUGUCUGUGGCCUUUCUCUUGAUUUCAGGAAUUGGUGCUCUAAUUGAAGAUAGAGGAAUAAGCAAAGGUAUAGGAGUUCUGCAAUUUUUGUUGGACUUUUUCAUUUUUGUCCUGUCGGCCGAAAAUAAUUACAGUCUCUAGCCCAAAUACAUAUAUACUGAUUAUGUAUAUUAUAUGUAUAUUUGUACUUAAUAUCCAAAAAUAUACAUUUCUUGGAGGGAAGGAUGCCGGGGGUCUAUUUGGAAAUAGUCUCUCUACCAAAGGGUAGGGGUAAGGUCUGCGUACACACUACCCUCCCCAGAUCCCACUAAGUGGGAUUAUACUGGGUUGUUGCUGUUGUAUACAUUUUCCGGCUAUUAUUUCUUAGGGCGGGCCAAAAAUGUAAUUAUCCCCUUUUUAUUUGGCUUUUGAAACUUUAUUCAGAUGCAUUCUACUACUGUCUUUUUCUUAAUCCAUUUUCUGAAUCAGGACUUGGUUUAAAUGAGGAAGUGCAACCGAGUAUGGAAACCAAUACAAAAUUUUCUGAUGUGAAGGGUGUUGAUGAGGCAAAAUCUGAGCUGGAAGAAAUUGUUCACUAUCUCCGAGAUCCUAAGGUGAGUUAAUCUGGGUGUUUUUUUCAGUAACCACAAGCAGUUCAAUCACUUCAUCUGCAAAAUAAAGUCCUAUUGAUAUUUGUGUCAUUAAUCCAGGUAAGUCAACAAAAAAAACACAGUGAUGAAGGUUUUUUCAGCAACCACAAGCAGUUCAAUCACUUCAUCUGCAAAAUAAGGUCCUAUUGAUAUUUGUGUCAUUAAUCCAGGUAAGUAAACAAAAAAACACUGAUGAAUUUUGUUCUUUGCUGUUCCGGUCAAUAAUAUACUAGAAAUUCAGGACUGGAUCAUCAUUUACGACAGUGUUCUCGCUAGCCCUCUUUCAACACCCAUCUGAAAAUAUCCCAAGGAUAGAAAUGUGUGACUACACAUUUCAUCAGUUGUUAAUUAUAUCUACAGUAUGUUCUGUUGGGGCGAAGAUAUUAUGGAUAGAAGGAGAAGUUAGAGGAUUAUAAGGUUAUUCCCCUUGUGCUCAUAAGUAGGUCAUGAUCAUUCAAUUAAUUCAGCUGUUGAACUCUGAUUAGGUUAAGUGUCGAAAGUUUUAGUUUAUGCUAUAAUGGUGUCUAAACACAGAUCAAAGUAAAGCCAAAAUUGUUUUGGCCGUGAUAGUCAAAUCAGUUAAUGGUCACAUAUUUGCAUGUCCAGUUGGUGAAUAGUAUAUCAUAAACGUGAUUGAAAAGUACACGGAAAACAACAUAUUUCCGAACAGCCGACAAUUACUUACCUACAAGUUUACUUAGGAUACUCUAGAAUUUCUAUUCCAACGUGAUGCUUAUUAAAAAAACAAAGAAUUAAGAAUACAAAAAAACUUGGUGUUUACUUGUGAGUUUAAUCUAAUAUGGACUGCCACGAGCUGAGGUACACGAGAACUUAAAUGGAUGUCAUUAGCUGUAAUUUUUUUUGUUUAAUUCUGUAUUUUCUUUAGCUUUUCAUGAAAAUUAUUCUUAAAACCGAAAAAAACGGGAAUUUUGGUUUUGGCCUCCCUAAGUUCAAAGUAGCAGAGAAGAGGGGUUGCUCUGAUGGUAAGCAACCUCCACUUCCAACCAAUAGGUUGUGAGUUCGAGUCUCCCCAAGAGCAAGGUGGGAAGUUCUUGGAGGAAAGGAUGCCGGAGGUCUAUUUGGAAACCUCUGAUGGUAAGCAACCUCCACUUCCAACCAAUAGGUUGUGAGUUCGAGUCUCCCCAAGAGCAAGGUGGGAAGUUCUUGAAUGGAAGGAUGCCGGGGUCUAUUUGGAAACAACUCUCUACCCCAGGUAGGGGUAAGGUCUGCGUACGCACUACCCUCCCCAGACCCCACUAUGUGGGAUUAUACUGGGUUGUUGUUGUUGUAAGUUCAAAGUAGCUACACCAUUAUUAUAACAUUCAAGUGGAAUCAGCUGCUUUCAGUCUUCAUCGAGCAAUAGAUACCCUUUAGGUAGUAAAAGAGGAGAAAGGGUACACGAGAAGGCUUUUGGUGGCUAUUGGUGCUUUUGCUUACCUAUUAUUAUACUAAUAACCUGUUUGGCCAAGCUUAUUUUUGGCCAAAAGUGUUU